GGCUACCAUGCAAGUCGAACGGAUCCUUCGGGAUUUGUGGCGCACGGGUGAGUAACGCGUGGAUAUCUACCUCGGGAUGGGGAAUAACCAUUGGAAACGGUGGCUAAUACCUCAUACGCCUUAAACGGGAAAGCUUUAUGCGUCCUGAAUGGUCUCCGCGUUAGAUUAGAUUGUUGGUGGGGUAAUGGCCUACCAGGUCUACGAUCUCUAGGGGGUCUGACGAGGAUGAUCAGCCACACUGGGACUGACCCGAGUGGGACACUCCCACGGGAGGCACCA
rnacentral:rRNA from 1 species